UACAAGGUUUCCGUAGGUGACCUGCGGAAGGAUCAUUA
rnacentral:rRNA from 2 species